GAUGAACGCUGGCGGCGUGCCUAAUACAUGCAAGUCGAGCGAACGGACGAGGAGCUUGCUUCUCUGAUGUUAGCGGCGGACGGGUGAGUAACACGUGGAUAACCUACCUAUAAGACUGGGAUAACUUCGGGAAACCGGAGCUAAUACCGGAUAAUAUAUUGAACCGCAUGGUUCAAUAGUGAAAGACGGUUUUGCUGUCACUUAUAGAUGGAUCCGCGCCGCAUUAGCUAGUUGGUAAGGUAACGGCUUACCAAGGCAACGAUGCAUAGCCGACCUGAGAGGGUGAUCGGCCACACUGGAACUGAGACACGGUCCAGACUCCUACGGGAGGCAGCAGUAGGGAAUCUUCCGCAAUGGGCGAAAGCCUGACGGAGCAACGCCGCGUGAGUGAUGAAGGUCUUCGGAUCGUAAAACUCUGUUAUUAGGGAAGAACAAAUGUGUAAGUAACUAUGCACGUCUUGACGGUACCUAAUCAGAAAGCCACGGCUAACUACGUG
rnacentral:rRNA from 1 species